rnacentral:rRNA from 1 species
UACGGGGGGGGCAAGCGUUGUUCGGAAUUACUGGGCGUAAAGGGCUUGUAGGCGGCCAACUAAGUCCGACGUGAAAUCCCCAGGCUUAACCUGGGAACUGCGUCGGAUACUGGAUGGCUUGAAUUCGGGAGAGGGAUGCAGAAUUCCAGGUGUAGCGGUGAAAUGCGUAGAUAUUGGGAGGAACACCGGUGGCGAAGGCGGUUCUCUGGGCCUUACCUGACGCUGAGGAGCGAAAGCGUGGGGAGCGAACAGG